UUAUUUAUUUGAGAAUUAGUUUGUUCUUAACUAGAGAAAAUAUCUUAUCUUAAAGGAUUACCAAGAAGACUCUCUUAGAAGAAAUAAAAGCCAAUUUUUCCUCAGAUGAAAGUGAAGAAUCAGAUGAUACUAAAAACAUUACUGAAAAGAAAGAUGAAACAAAUACAAGAAGUGAGGGGAUUUGUGAAAAAAGCAAUUUGAAAUCUGAUUCAGACUCUGAGGAAAUUAAGAAGCUGAAAUACAGAUCCCCACUGGUUACAUACAAUCUAAAUAUAAGUGGUGGAGAAUCUGCAGAAGAAACAAAAGAAAGCAAACACAGAAAGAAGAGGAAAGUGAGCAUGGAUGAUUCGGGACUGAAAGUUACUGAAAACAUUACUGAACAUGAAGAUGGUGAACAGUCAAAGACAAGGUAUUUUAAUAAUUUUUGGGUUCCUUUACCCAUAUUUUUUCAGUUAGGUGUUAAGAAAUUAU
rnacentral:lncRNA from 1 species